rnacentral:rRNA from 1 species
GCACGAAGCGGAGGAACAUGUGGUUAAUUCGAUGAUACGCGAGGAACCUUACCUGGGCUUAAAUGUAGAGUGCAUUUUCUAGAGAUAGGAAUUCCCUUCGGGGCUUUCUGCAAGGUGCUGCAUGGUUGUCGUCAGCUCGUGCCGUGAGGUGUCGGGUUAAGUCCCAUAACGAGCGCAACCCUUAUCGUUAGUUGCCAUCUGGUAAAGCAGGGGACUCUAGCGAAACUGCCACCGUAAGGUGAGAGGAAGGUGGGGAUGACGUCAAAUCAGCACGGCCCUUAUGUCCAGGGCUACACACGUGUUACAAUGGCCGGUACAGAGGGCAGCUACCUGGUGACAGGAUGCUAAUCUCGAAAACCGGUCUCAGUUCGGAUCGAAGUCUGCAACUCGACUUCGUGAAGCUGGAUUCGCUAGUAAUCGCGCAUCAGCCAUGGCGCGGUGAAUACGUUCCCGGGCCUU